AGAUUGAACGCUGGCGGCAGGCCUAACACAUGCAAGUCGAACGGUAACAGGAAGCAGCUUGCUGCUUCGCUGACGAGUGGCGGACGGGUGAGUAAUGUCUGGGAAACUGCCUGAUGGAGGGGGAUAACUACUGGAAACGGUAGCUAAUACCGCAUAACGUCGCAAGACCAAAGAGGGGGACCUUCGGGCCUCUUGCCAUCGGAUGUGCCCAGAUGGGAUUAGCUAGUAGGUGGGGUAACGGCUCACCUAGGCGACGAUCCCUAGCUGGUCUGAGAGGAUGACCAGCCACACUGGAACUGAGACACGGUCCAGACUCCUACGGGAGGCAGCAGUGGGGAAUAUUGCACAAUGGGCGCAAGCCUGAUGCAGCCAUGCCGCGUGUAUGAAGAAGGCCUUCGGGUUGUAAAGUACUUUCAGCGGGGAGGAAGGCGAUAAGGUUAAUAACCUUGUCGAUUGACGUUACCCGCAGAAGAAGCACCGGCUAACUCCGUGCCAGCAGCCGCGGUAAUACGGAGGGUGCAAGCGUUAAUCGGAAUUACUGGGCGUAAAGCGCACGCAGGCGGUCUGUCAAGUCGGAUGUGAAAUCCCCGGGCUCAACCUGGGAACUGCAUUCGAAACUGGCAGGCUAGAGUCUUGUAGAGGGGGGUAGAAUUCCAGGUGUAGCGGUGAAAUGCGUAGAGAUCUGGAGGAAUACCGGUGGCGAAGGCGGCCCCCUGGACAAAGACUGACGCUCAGGUGCGAAAGCGUGGGGAGCAAACAGGAUUAGAUACCCUGGUAGUCCACGCCGUAAACGAUGUCGACUUGGAGGUUGUGCCCUUGAGGCGUGGCUUCCGGAGCUAACGCGUUAAGUCGACCGCCUGGGGAGUACGGCCGCAAGGUUAAAACUCAAAUGAAUUGACGGGGGCCCGCACAAGCGGUGGAGCAUGUGGUUUAAUUCGAUGCAACGCGAAGAACCUUACCUACUCUUGACAUCCAGAGAACUUUGCAGAGAUGGUUUGGUGCCUUCGGGAACUCUGAGACAGGUGCUGCAUGGCUGUCGUCAGCUCGUGUUGUGAAAUGUUGGGUUAAGUCCCGCAACGAGCGCAACCCUUAUCCUUUGUUGCCAGCGGUCCGGCCGGGAACUCAAAGGAGACUGCCAGUGAUAAACUGGAGGAAGGGUGGGGGAUGACGUCAAGUCAUCAUGGCCCUUACGAGUAGGGCUACACACGUGCUACAAUGGCGCAUACAAAGAGAAGCGACCUCGCGAGAGCAAGCGGACCUCAUAAAGUGCGUCGUAGUCCGGAUUGGAGUCUGCAACUCGACUCCAUGAAGUCGGAAUCGCUAGUAAUCGUGGAUCAGAAUGCCACGGUGAAUACGUUCCCGGGCCUUGUACACACCGCCCGUCACACCAUGGGAGUGGGUUGCAAAAGAAGUAGG
rnacentral:rRNA from 1 species